rnacentral:rRNA from 1 species
AAUGAACGUUGGCGGCGUGGAUUAGGCAUGCAAGUCGGACGGGCCGCGAGGCCAGUGGCGUAAGGGUGAGUAAGGCGACGGCAAUCAUCCCCACGGUUGGGUAUAGCCGCGAGAAAUCGCGGGUAAUCCCAGCGACGCGCGGCGUCGGCAUCGACGCCGCGCCAAAGGCUCGCCGCCGUGGGACGAGCCGUCGUGGUAUUAGGUCGUUGGCGGGGUAACGGCCCACCAAGCCCGCGAUGCCACCGGGCGUGCGAGCGUGGCCCGGCACACUGGGACUGAGACACUGCCCAGACUCCUACGGGAGGCUGCAGUCGAGAAUCUUCGGCAAUGGGCGCAAGCCUGACCGAGCGACGCCGCGUGGAGGACCGAAGGCCUU